AUACACAGGCCCAUAUGAACGCUUCUCAUGUUGAACAAUUCUUUGAUGCGCUGAUAGGUAUACCAGCUGAAGGCUAUGAAAACUCCUUUGUUUAUGUGAUGUCAGAAUGGACUAAACAGCAAGGAGAGAUUCAAGUGGCCUAAAAAAUUAAGGUCACAACCAGUGCUCCGGUCCUGUUGUUAUCCACGAGGCAUGCUGAAUUGAGUAAAAUUAAUGUGCAGGGACAUAUAAAGUCUGCUGCAGGAAUAACCACUCGGUCAAAAGCUAGAUUGGCUCCUUAUCAGUGGCUAUAGUGCCCACUUCUGUAAGAUAUUGGCUUUGUUGGCAGACACUGUGAUCGAAUUCCAAGAACAGGCAAUAGCUGAUGAUGAGUUAGGGGGCAUCCUUUUCAGGUUUCUUUAAUGUCAUUGUCCCCGUAGCUGCAAGGAAUAGAACUCUCAAGGUUUGAGCUAACUGUUGCAGCAGGGGAGCGACUGGGAGGAAAUUUAGUCAGGGGUGUCAGAGUCUAGUGUGCUGUGCUCUGCUGCUGCUCCAUCAUUCGGCAGAACUACGCCUGGCCAACUCGAAGCAAUGGCAAAAGCUUAUAAUGAGUACCAACCAAAAUUUUGUGAUCUUCAAGAAUGAAGAGGACGGGGGCGAUGAUGACCUUUGAGUGUUUCCGAUCCACUCAAUGAGAUUAACGUGGUAAAUUAUCUUGCUGACUUCUUUGCAAAGUUCGUUCAGAGCGACAAACAACUAUUUGAUCAUCUUUGCCAGGUUGACUUACACAUUGUAGUUCAUGCAUUUGAAGUUUUUGACUCGUAUUCUUGGUUAUUUACUUUAGCAUUCAUGUAAGGAGUUGAAAAUCCAGUUUUUUUUUUUCUUCUUGAAAUUGCAUAGUAUGGCACAGGCUCAGCGGGGAUGCUAUACAAACAUUUUUACGAUGUUGAGCUGUGUAUUUGGUGUGCGAAGGAUGGGGUGUUCUUAUGUUUUGGGGGAGAUGAAUUUGAACUUAAAUCGUCCCUUGUGA